rnacentral:tRNA from 1 species
GCAGUCAUGGUUCAGUGGUAGAAUUCUUGCCUUCCAUGCUAGAGACCAGAAUUUGACUGCC